AUGCAAGUCGAACGGCAGCAUGAUCUAGCUUGCUAGAUUGAUGGCGAGUGGCGAACGGGUGAGUAAUACAUCGGAACGUGCCCUGUAGUGGGGGAUAACUAGUCGAAAGAUUAGCUAAUACCGCAUACGACCUGAGGGUGAAAGUGGGGGACCGCAAGGCCUCAUGCUAUAGGAGCGGCCGAUGUCUGAUUAGCUAGUUGGUGGGGUAAAGGCCCACCAAGGCGACGAUCAGUAGCUGGUCUGAGAGGACGAUCAGCCACACUGGGACUGAGACACGGCCCAGACUCCUACGGGAGGCAGCAGUGGGGAAUUUUGGACAAUGGGCGAAAGCCUGAUCCAGCAAUGCCGCGUGUGUGAAGAAGGCCUUCGGGUUGUAAAGCACUUUUGUCCGGAAAGAAAUGGCUCUGGUUAAUACCUGGGGUCGAUGACGGUACCGGAAGAAUAAGGACCGGCUAACUACGUGCCAGCAGCCGCGGUAAUACGUAGGGUCCAAGCGUUAAUCGGAAUUACUGGGCGUAAAGCGUGCGCAGGCGGUUGUGCAAGACCGAUGUGAAAUCCCCGAGCUUAACUUGGGAAUUGCAUUGGUGACUGCACGGCUAGAGUGUGUCAGAGGGGGGUAGAAUUCCACGUGUAGCAGUGAAAUGCGUAGAGAUGUGGAGGAAUACCGAU
rnacentral:rRNA from 1 species